UUAAAUAGAUAAGUGAAACUACUUUUGUAUUUUUCAAUUUUUGUGCCUUAAAAAUAGAAUUAAAAUAUUAAAGUGAAAUCAUAUAGCAUAAUGUCACGGGAUGAGUAUAAUUGCGCGGCUAACCCGUGCGGCACUUAGACAACUUUGCCAACGGUUGCUAAGUAAGCCUUGAACUUCUCGAACUAGAGAAGAAAGCAAUGAAGCCAAAUGAGAACUUGUAUUGCACUAAAGAGAGAUUUACAAUGCUUGAGUUGCUUNNNN
rnacentral:lncRNA from 1 species